GCCUCCUUAUACGCAUAGGAGGUGCAACCUGCUCAGUGGCUGCAAAUAAAUAAAUUAAAUACAGUUAAAUAGCCGCGGUAACUCUGACCGUGAUAAAGUAGCAUAAUCACUUGUCACUUAAUUAGUGAAUGGAAUGAAUGGUUAAACGAAUCCCACACUGUCUCAAUAAGAAAUCCUAUAAAAUUGGAAUUGUAGUGAAGAUACUACACUUAGAUUGCAAGACGAAAAGACCCUAUUGAGCUUUACUGGAUGCUUACAAUUACCAAAAAAAAUAAUAAAUAUAUUAACUUUAAACUGUAAGCAAGACAGUUUGGUUGGGGCGACCACCUCUAAAAAAGUAACAGAGGAGAUCUAAAGGUAAUUUAUAUGAAUUAUUACUUAACUGAAUAACUAUAAUUUAAACAGAUAUAAAACAUAGGACAUAAUGACCCGUUAUUUUACAACUUAAAUAUAACGACUACAGAAAAAGUUACCAUAGGGAUAACAGGGUAAUAUUUUCUAAGAGUUCUAAUCGACGAAAAUGUUUGCCACCUCGAUGUUGAAUUGUGAUAUCCUAGGGGUGCAGCAGCUCCUAAGGGUUG
rnacentral:rRNA from 1 species